rnacentral:rRNA from 1 species
CCUGGCUCAGGAUGAACGCUAGCUGUAUGCUUAAUACAUGCAUGUCGAACGAGGUGCUUGCACCUAGUGGCGAAUGGGUGAGUAACACGUACUUAAUCUACCUUCUAGAUUGGGAUAACUACUGGAAACAGUGGCUAAUACCGAAUAUGUAUAUUGAUCGCAUGUUUGAUAUAUAAAAGGGGCGUUUGCCCCGCUAGGAAAUGAGAGUGCGGCAUAUUAGGUUGUUGGUGGGGUAAAGGCCUACCAAGUCGAUGAUAUGUAGCCGAGUUGAGAAGCUGAUCGGCCACACUGGGACUGAGAUACGGCCCAGACUCCUACGGGAGGCAGCAGUAGGGAAUAUUCCGCAAUGAGCGAAAGCUUGACGGAGCAAAACAGCGUGAACGAUGAAGGUCUUCGGAUUGUAAAGUUCUGUUAUAAGGGAAGAAAAACUUGGAUAGGAAAUGAUCCAAGCCUGACGGUACCUUAUUAGAAAGUGACGGCUAACUAUGUGCCAGCAGCCGCGGUAAUACAUAGGUCACAAGCGUUAUCCGGAAUUAUUGGGCGUAAAGCGUUCGUAGGCGGUUUGUUAAGUCUGGAGUUAAAGCCUGGGGCUCAACCCCAGCCCGCUCUGGAUACUGACAAACUAGAGUUACAUAGAGGUAAGCGGAAUUCUUAGUGGAGCGGUGGAAUGCGUAGAUAUUAGGAAGAACACCAAUAGCGAAGGCAGCUUACUGGAUGUAUACUGACGCUCAGGGACGAAAGCGUGGGGAGCAAACAGGAUUAGAUACCCUGGUAGUCCACGCCCUAAACGAUGCGAACUGGAUGUUGGGUGCAAUUUGGCACGCAGUAUCGAAGCUAACGCGUUAAGUUCGCCGCCUGGGGAGUACGGUCGCAAGACUGAAACUCAAAGGAAUUGACGGGGGCCCGCACAAGCGGUGGAGUAUGUGGUUUAAUUCGAUGCAACGCGAAGAACCUUACCUGGCCUUGACAUCCAGAGAACUUAGCA